GACGAACGCUGGCGGCGUGCUUAACACAUGCAAGUCGAACGGACAGGCCCUGCUUUUGUGGGGUGCUCGAUUGCCGAACGGGUGAGUAACACGUGAGUAACCUGCCCUUGUCUUUGUGAUAACUCCAGGAAACUGGGGCUCAUACCGGAUAGGAGCUCCUGAUGCAUGGUGGUGGUUGGAAAGUUUCGGCGGUUGGGGAUCGACUCGCUGCUUAUCAGCUUGUUGGUGUGGUAGUGGCUUACCAAGGCUUUGACGGGUAGCCGGCCUGAGAGGGUGACCGGCCACAUUGGGACUGCGAUACGGAGCAGAAGCGUACGGGAGGCAGCAGUGGGGAAUAUUGCAGAAUGGGCGGAAGCCUGAUGCAGCAACGCCGCGUGCGGGAUGACGGCCUUCGGGUUAUAAACAGCUGUCGCAUGUGACGAAGCGUGAGUGACGGUAAUGGGUAAAGAAGCACCGGCUAACUACGUG
rnacentral:rRNA from 1 species